rnacentral:rRNA from 1 species
AACGAACGCUGGCGGCGUGCCUAACACAUGCAAGUCGAACGAGAAAGGGGCUUCGGCUCCGAGUAAAGUGGCGCACGGGUGAGUAACACGUGGGUAACCUGCCUCUAAGAUUGGGAUAACCCGUCGAAAGAUGGACUAAUACCGGAUAAGGCCACAGUUCCUGCGGGAACAGGGGUCAAAGGUAGCCUCUGCAUGCAAGCUAUCGCUUAGAGAUGGGCCUGCGCACCAUUAGCUAGUUGGUAGGGUAACGGCCUACCAAGGCAAAGAUGGUUAGCUGGUCUGAGAGGAUGAUCAGCCACACUGGAACUGAGACACGGUCCAGACUCCUACGGGUGCAG